GACGAACGCUGGCGGCGUGCUUAACACAUGCAAGUCGAGCGGAAAGGCCCUUCGGGGUACUCGAGCGGCGAACGGGUGAGUAACACGUGAGUAAUCUGCCCCUGGCUUUGGGAUAGCCACCGGAAACGGUGAUUAAUACCGGAUAUGACCACUUGACGCAUGUUGGGUGGUGGAAAGUUUUUCGGCCAGGGAUGUGCUCGCGGCCUAUCAGCUUGAUGGUGAGGUAAUGGCUCACCAUGGCUUCGACGGGUAGCCGGCCUGAGAGGGUGACCGGUCACACUGGGACUGAGACACGGCCCAGACUCCUACGGGAGGCAGCAGUGGGGAAUAUUGGACAAUGGGCGGAAGCCUGAUGCAGCGACGCCGCGUGAGGGAUGAAGGUCUUCGGAUUGUAAACCUCUUUCAGUAGGGACGAAGCGAAAGUGACGGUACCUAAAGAAGAAGCACCGGCUAACUACGUGCCAGCAGCCGCGGUAACAC
rnacentral:rRNA from 1 species